GCACAAUGGGCGAAAGCCUGAUGCAGCCAUGCCGCGUGUAUGAAGAAGGCCUUCGGGUUGUAAAGUACUUUCAGUUGUGAGGAAGGGGGUAACGUUAAUAGCGUUAUCUCUUGACGUUAGCAACAGAAGAAGCACCGGCUAACUCCGUGCCAGCAGCCGCGGUAAUACGGAGGGUGCGAGCGUUAAUCGGAAUUACUGGGCGUAAAGCGCAUGCAGGUGGUUCAUUAAGUCAGAUGUGAAAGCCCGGGGCUCAACCUCGGAACUGCAUUUGAAACUGGUGAACUAGAGUGCUGUAGAGGGGGGUAGAAUUUCAGGUGUAGCGGUGAAAUGCGUAGAGAUCUGAAGGAAUACCAGUGGCGAAGCCGGCCCCUUGGACAGACACUGACCCUCAGAUGCGAAAGCCUGGGGACCAACAGGAUUAGAUACCCUGGUAGUCCACGCCGUAAACGAUGUCUACUUGGAGGUUGUGGCCUUGAGCCGUGGCUUUCGGAGCUAACGCGUUAAGUAGACCGCCUGGGGAGUACGGUCGCAAGAUUAAAACUCAAAUGAAUUGACGGGGGCC
rnacentral:rRNA from 1 species